rnacentral:rRNA from 1 species
GCGUAGUGACCUGCGGAAGGAUCAUUG